rnacentral:rRNA from 1 species
UACGGAGGGUGCAAGCGUUAUCCGGAUUCACUGGGUUUAAAGGGUGCGUAGGAGGGCAGGUAAGUCAGUGGUGAAAUCUCCGAGCUUAACUUGGAACUGCCGUUGAUACUAUCUGCCUUGAAUAUUGUGGAGGUGAGCGGAAUAUGUCAUGUAGCGGUGAAAUGCUUAGAUAUGACAUAGAACACCAAUUGCGAAGGCAGCUCACUACACAGCCAUUGACGCUGAGGCACGAAAGCGUGGGGAUCAAACAGG